rnacentral:rRNA from 1 species
UACAGAGGGUGCAAGCGUUUGUUCGGAAUUAUUGGGCGUAAAGCGCGUGUAGGCGGCUUUGCAAGUCGGGUGUGAAAGCCCUCAGCUCAACUGAGGAAGUGCGCCCGAAACUGCAGAGCUUGAGUACCGGAGAGGAUGGUGGAAUUCCCCAAGUAGAGGUGAAAUUCGUAGAUAUGGGGGAGGAACACCGGUGGCGAAGGCGACCAUCUGGACGGAUACUGACGCUGAGACGCGAAAAGCGUGGGGAGCAAACAGG